rnacentral:lncRNA from 1 species
AUGAUAAAUAUUCAAGGAGUCUUCCAGAGCGCAGAUAAGCAAUUGAAAAACACCUACCUAACGCUAGGACCAUGUAGUGCAAGCAGAAUCACAGGCCCUGGUAUCAAAAAGGGAAGAGCAAGUGAACAGUUGUGUGACUCCGAAUCCACAGAUGACAACUGCAACAUAUUUGGAGCAAUAAAUUACUGGCUGCUUUAAGAAAUGGGACUGAUUCAACAGCGUAUCCUGGAGUAGUAAUAGAAGCACUAAAAUCUAUCUUUCUACCUCCGAGGGGUUUGUUUUAAAGGUUUAGAUUGCAACAAUAAACAUUCUUUUAAUCCUACA